UACUUACCGGGACCGACAGCAAUAUGAAGGCCAGGCUGAAGACUUUGCCGGAGUUAGCUGAGAGGUGGUGCAUGGCCGUCGUCAGUUCGUACUGUGAAGCAUCCUGUUAAGUCAGGCAACGAGCGAGACUCACGCCCACAGUUGCCAGCGUACUCUCUGGAGUGACGGGUACACUGUGGGGACCGCCGCUGCUAAAGCGGAGGAAGGAAUGGGCAACGGUAGGUCAGUAUGCCCCGAAUAUCCCGGGCUACACGCGAGCUACAAUGGUUGGUACAAUGGGUAUCUACCCCGAAAGGGGACGGGAAUCUCCUAAAACCAAUCUUAGUUCGGAUUGAGGGCUGCAACUCGCCCUCAUGAAGCUGGAAUCCGUAGUAAUCGCGUUUCAACAGAACGCGGUGAAUACGUCCCUGCUCCUU
rnacentral:rRNA from 1 species